AAAUUGAAGAGUUUGAUCAUGGCUCAGAUUGAACGCUGGCGGCAGGCCUAACACAUGCAAGUCGAACGGUAACAGGAAGCAGCUUGCUGCUUCGCUGACGAGUGGCGGACGGGUGAGUAAUGUCUGGGAAACUGCCUGAUGGAGGGGGAUAACUACUGGAAACGGUAGCUAAUACCGCAUAAUGUCGCAAGACCAAAGAG
rnacentral:rRNA from 1 species